rnacentral:misc_RNA from 1 species
AACAUGAUAUCAAUCUUUUAUCAACAUAAACAAUACAUGUUCAUUAUCGACAAGUAUAUACUAUAGUUUGCAUUUGGAAUUCUCUCCAGUCAGAUAUUUGAUAAACACCUCUUUCAUAAAGGGUAUAGUCGGCAGCUUCACAGAGGCCUGGAGUUUUCUCAACAGUUAUUGUAUGUCCCGGAAACAGGCCAAAGAGCUGAGACACGUGUCGAUGAUGAAUAUCUGGUCCUCAAAAUCCUGAGCCUGCCAAAAAUAGAUA